GAAGGUGACCAGCAGCUCCUGGUUCACAUUGUUCUUCCUGAGUCUUCUCAGGAAGUGCAGGUGCUGCUGAGCCUUCCUGAUGGUGUUGUUAGACCCUGUGAGGUCAGCCGAGAUGGUGGUGCCCAGGAGGGUGAAGCUGUGGACCCUCUCCACACAGUUUCCAUCGAUGUAGAGUGGGGUUGGAUCUGCUCUGUUCUUCCUGAAGUCCAGGAUGAUCUCCUUGGUCUUGGUGGUGUUCAGGAUGAGGUUGUUAGCCUGACACCACCUGGACAGUUUCAGGACUUUGUCUCUGUGGGCCGUCUUGUCGUCUCCAGAGAUCAGCCCCACCACAGUAGUGUCGUCUGCAAACUACACUAUGGUGUUGCUGGUGUGGGCUGGUCUGCAGUCUGCUGUGUACAGCAUGUCCGUCACUGAGGAGUGACGUCACUGAACACCGUCACUGCCUGGAGCUCUUUCUGGGUCCUAGUGCCGUAAAGGUUACAGCUCCUGGUUCCACAAGAAAAAAGUCCAUUCUAGAGGCCACUCUGACGUCAUCAUCAUCAAAGACAGCGUUACCUAGCAACCAUACCAAGACCAUAGCAGCUAUAGAGGGAAACACAACAAACCAUCAACGGCGGUUAAAGCAGUCAGACGUUUGUUCUGCAGCUCAGUAAAAAUCUCUGCUUUAGGUUUUGGGGAGAAAAACAAAGGAAAACACACGGAGAAGGAUUCUGCAAAGGAAAUCCCAAGUUCUAUUGAUGGAUUCAAGCUGUAAAUGUUGUCAGCAUAAAGCAAGUUUGGACUAAACUAAAGCAGAAAGUGGCUUUGAAGAUGGUCAGGAGAAAUGAGG